ACUGAAAAAAAGUUUUUAAAAGCGUAUGCAUGUUUAAAAAUGUUAAAUAGUUAAACAACACUUGCGGUGAAAAUAUGAAGUGUUUAUUCUGAGUUGAAAAGACCGUACUUAUAUCUAGUAUUCUUAAUGUAAUUUAAAUAAUGUCUUCCUUUACUAACUGCAUGUGACUUUGCUCUACUUAUAUUGUUUAAUACGUACUGAUGAAUUCAGCAGCGAAUUGGCUAAUGCUGCUAAUGCUUUUUACAUUUUUUCCCCCUCAAUGAACAGUCUUCUUUGUGUAGUUUUCAUUAUAUUGCACUCUUAUUUUUCAUUAUGUACAUGCCUGCAAUUCGCAGCUCGCUGUUUUUGUUGUUGUAUGGUAUUGUUGUUUUACCUUCAUUUGUUUUGUCUGGUCCUUUGUAGUUUGAAUGUUGUCACAUGAUCCAAAUAGGACAAGCUCCUUGAUCACCACCCCAUUGGGAAGAAACUAAAUCACGACCCCCAAAUGGUAGUCUUCCCAUGCAGAUACAGGGAUGUCACAGAGAUCCAAAUGGAAACAUCGAACACUGUAAAACCCACUGUGCAGACAGGACCAAUGGUGACAAUAUAAGACCAUGCCGAGCUUCGUGGACGGUUCAAACUCAUCCUGCCCAGGAACGGCUGAUAUGAAAUGCAUAUUUAUAACUUGUCUAACAAGUAGCUCAUUCAAAGAUAUAAAAAAGUAUUUUUUGGCGUGUGUAGGGUAUUUUAACUAUGUAGCCUACAGAAUGCUUGUAUGGGCUCAUGUAGGUGUCUGCGUACGUUUGUAUUUAUAUAACAUAUGUCCGUGUGUAUAGAUUAUGUAUUUUUCAGGGAAGGACCAUAUUUGUGGCUGACCCCUAUGUUGUUGCAACAUGGUGAAAGCCUACAGGAUGUGACCCACACAUGCAUUUGCCUGUAAGGCUGAUUAGUAACAACUACAACUUGGAGCAUUGGUUCAUUUUCAAAGAACAGUCAAAUCAUAACAAAUUAAAUGAUCCAAAUUCCAAUUAUUUGUGGGAAGAAAAACAGAUCCAAUCAUGAGAUCAGGGAACUAUUGUUAUCUCUAAUGAAAUUCAGUAUCCAUUCAUAUUGGCAUGGCGUUUCCAUGAUGAUCCAGAAUAGCCUUGUUUGGUUUUGAAGGUAUGUUCCAGUCGAUCCUUUUAUGUUGCCCCUUCAAUUAAAGCAGAAUUGCACUCCAGAUGAUUCAUCCAAUCAUUUGAAGCAAAUUUCUAAAAUGCCACUCUAAAAUUGCGAAUGUUUUGUUUCAAGGGCGUUGGCCCGGUCUCAACAUUGGUAGGGACGAAUAUAAUGCAAGUAAGGUUGCUCAAAAGUUGGUGGGGACAACUUUAGCAUCCUGAAAAGUUGGUCGUGUUAUGUCCCUACCGUCCCUAUGCAAACCUACGCCCUUGUUUUGUUUGCAUGAAUCAUUUAAACCUGACUGGUUGGUGUUCUUAUGCAUGGAAACACGUUUGUAAUUGUUUAACUACUGUAUUUAAUAUGAACCUAUAUUUUCAAUUGCAGAAAACGUUGACAGUCAAUCAACAGGGGGACAUGGAAAGAGAGAAUUGGAAGUGAAAUAGAGGGUUUUCCGGGAUAGCCAUAGGGGAAGGACUGUGGCAUCUUCAUGUUGAUGACUGAUAUGCCAACUCUGAGGAAGUGGUGGUGUAUAUUGAUAGCGGACAAUUUCAAACUUGGGUGCAUGCCACAGGAAAGAGUUUGCCCAUUGGACAGAUGAGGCAAAAGCAUUACUGCAGGGUGAAGUGCCACCAGUCUAUCAGUUACAGAAGUGAAAUUUGAAUAUAAUUGCUGAGGAAGAGGUGCAACCACAGCUCCUUCAAGUUAGUGGUGGCCCACUCCAAAAAGAUAUGGCGGGAAAAAAUGUUUUGGUAAAAGGAUUGUGCAAGACAGCACAAAAGCCUCGGACAGGGCUAGGGGGAAAAAAAAAAAAUCAAUGCAGUAGGAGUUCCCAAGCAUCCUGCAGAUGGAAGAGGAUGAGCACGAACUACAAUGUCUUGGAGCCAUUCAAGUUCUGUUUCAACCAUCUGGAAGAUGGAUUUACCUUUUUUGAGGAGAUUGUUGACUAAAGAAAAUAUCUAUUCUCUCAAUAAUAAUAAAAAAUAAUAAAACUAAAAAAAUAAAGUUUACCACAUCAGAACUGGUUGUAUUGAGUUCAU